rnacentral:rRNA from 1 species
ACGGGAGGCAGCAGUGGGGAAUAUUGCACAAUGGGGGAAACCCUGAUGCAGCGACGCCGCGUGGGUGAAGAAGUUUUUCGGAAUGUAAAGCCCUAUCAGCAGGGAAGAUAAUGACGGUACCUGACUAAGAAGCCCCGGCUAACUACGUGCCAGCAGCCGCGGUAAUACGUAGGGGGCAAGCGUUAUCCGGAUUUACUGGGCGUAAAGGGCGCGUAGGCGGCAUAAUAAGUUAGAUGUGAAAUUCCGAGGCUUAACCUCGGCGUUGCAUUUAAAACUGUUAAGCUUGAGUGCCGGAGAGGAAAGCGGAAUUCCUAGUGUAGCGGUGAAAUGCGUAGAUAUUAGGAGGAACAUCAGUGGCGAAGGCGGCUUUCUGGACGGUAACUGACGCUGAGGCGCGAAAGCGUGGGUAGCAAACAGGAUUAGAUACCCUGGUA